UGUGUGUGUAUGUGAUAUAUAUGUGCAUGCAUGUGUGUGUAUAUAUGUAUACGUACACACACACACACACACACACACACACACACACACAC
rnacentral:miRNA from 1 species